rnacentral:rRNA from 1 species
GCAUACCCUAGAGCCCCAUUCAUUCUAUUUUAAUAAAUAAAAUUACUUCCAAAUCCUAACAAAAUAAAAUUUACAAAUUCAAAAUUAUAAAUGUAACCCAUAACUUCUUUUAUAAAACUGCACCUUGAUUUGAUCUAAAGUAAAAUUUUACCUAUAGAAAAUUACAAUUCUUUCGAAAUGUUCAUUUCAACAACGAUAUACAAGCAACAUAAAAGUAAAAUAAAUCGUGGAUUAUCAAUUACAGGACAGGUUCCUCUGGCAGGUUUGGGUACCGCCAAGACAUUUAAUUUUCAAGCUCUUAACUAAUACUAACUCGGCUAUAAUUAUACAAUGUUAAUAACAGGGUAUCUAAUCCUGGUUUAAAAAAACAUUUUCCUAGAUCAUUUAUUUUUGAAUCCUUAAUUCAAUAUUAAAAUUUCACCUCUCAAUACAAAUUUUAUAAAUAUUAUAAUUAAUUAACUAAAACCACAAAAAUUAAGUAGCACCUUUUGUAUAACCGCA